rnacentral:rRNA from 1 species
UACGUAGGGUGCGAGCGUUAAUCGGAAUUACUGGGCGUAAAGCGUGCGUAGGCGGUCCGCAAAGUCUGAUGUGAAAGCCCCGGGCUCAACCUGGGAACUGCAUUGGAAACUAACGGGCUCGAGUGUGGCAGAGGGGGGUGGAAUUCCACGUGUAGCAGUGAAAUGCGUAGAGAUGCGGAGGAACACCGAUGGCGAAGGCAGCCCCCUGGGCUAACACUGACGCUCAGGCACGAAAGCGUGGGGAGCAAACAGG